rnacentral:tRNA from 1 species
GGUGGGGUAGCUCAGUUGGUUAGAGCGCAGGACUCAUAAUCCUGAGGUCGAGAGUUCAAAUCUCUCUCCCACCACCA